rnacentral:rRNA from 1 species
UACGGAGGGAGCUAGCGUUGUUCGGAAUUACUGGGCGUAAAGCGCGCGUAGGCGGCUUUGUAAGUUAGAGGUGAAAGCCCGGGGCUCAACCCCGGAAUUGCCUUUAAGACUGCAUCGCUUGAAUCCGGGAGAGGUGAGUGGAAUUCCGAGUGUAGAGGUGAAAUUCGUAGAUAUUCGGAAGAACACCGGUGGCGAAGGCGGAUCUCUGGGCCGUAACUGACGCUGAGGAGCGAAAGCAUGGGGAGCGAACAGG